CAUCCAAACUGUAAUGAUCUGAAAUCAUUCAGACACCAUGUUGAAACCUGGAAAAUCACAUACCUGCACCUUCAUUUUCAUAUAGCAAUGUUAGAAGUAUGAGGCACCAAUGUUGCCAGAAGCAGUGCUUUCAAUAGGUUGUCUCCUUCUAUGGAUGAUACAGUGGCAGCCCCACACUACAUCUCUCAAGAGAAGUGGAUGACUUCAGAUGAGAAAUCCAGCAACUAGUUAACACACGUUGAAGUGAUUCUUGAUUUGCAAGUGUUUUGUAAGAACAGCUCCAGAGAGUAGAGCUCUUUGAGCUUCACUACUGAGCAGAGGCCAGGAGAGCUGAGACCACUUGCCGCCCUCCUCAGCAAUCCCACGUCUCACCGUUUUCAAAGAACAGAUUAUGAGUUAUUUCAUUUGGCAUUUGGGGUGAGGUUGCACCAUCCCAUCAGACCACAACUUUCUCAGACAGGUGAGUCACUACCCCGGUGAUUAUAACUAAGCCUUACACAGGCACACAAAGCAACACAAGUGCAGAAGCGGAGGAUGCAAACCAGCUCUGGAGCUCACCCCCACAAUGAUACAGCCAAUGGAUGAGCUGUGUGCAGGCUGACAAUUCACAUGGAUUGUAGCUACGUGUCUGGUGAAGUGUAAAAACUUGUUAAAUAAUUUCCUUUUACCAUUAGAGGUGGGCAACCUUCCUUUCAGUAACAGUUUAAAAAGAAGAUGUAGUUUUAUAGAUCUGAAAGGUAUUCAGAACAGCAAACACAAAAAAAA